AUAAGACACUGUCUUAUAUUCGGGGAAACACGGUAGCUACCGAGUUAAGUUCUGUGUAUGUUGGACUUUGUUCUCGCUGAAGAGUUCUGUAUAGUCUGAUAGUCUUGUAUAUAGAUAGACUUCUGUAACUUUGCAACUGCGAAAGUAAAGCCUUCCUAUGGAAA